UGAGGAAUAUUGGUCAAUGGACGAGAGUCUGAACCAGCCAAGUAGCGUGAAGGAUGACUGCCCUAUGGGUUGUAAACUUCUUUUAUAUGGGAAUAAAGUAUUCCAUGUGUGGGAUUUUGUAUGUACCAUAUGAAUAAGGAUCGGCUAACUCCGUGCCAGCAGCCGCGGUAAUACGGAGGAUCCGAGCGUUAUCCGGAUUUAUUGGGUUUAAAGGGAGCGUAGGCGGGUUGUUAAGUCAGUUGUGAAAGUUUGCGGCUCAACCGUAAAAUUGCAGUUGAUACUGGCAUCCUUGAGUACAGUAGAGGUAGGCGGAAUUCGUGGUGUAGCGGUGAAAUGCUUAGAUAUCACGAAGAACUCCGAUUGCGAAGGCAGCUCACUAGACUGCAACUGACACUGAUGCUCGAAAGUGUGGGUAUCAAACAGG
rnacentral:rRNA from 1 species